AAAUAGCUCAUACAUUGUGUGCUUUAUGAUCUAGUUUUAAAGAUAAAUUAAUGUAUGGGGAAGCAUUUGAGAAAGAAUAUAAUUAAAACCUGGGAAUUUAGAGCAAAAAAAAGAGUUUGCUGGUGUUCAGAACAGAGCAGUGAGAAUGACUAUAGGGAGAACAGACAAAGGUAUUACAUCUUAAAACAGUAGAAUUAACUUUUUGUAACUUAAGCCCAGUUCAUCUAGUCUACUAAAAUUUAAAAUGGAGAAAGCAAUUUAAUCAUUUUUUAAUUUCAUUUUCAUUAGUGAUAAUCAAAACCCCAUAAGUGAUCAUGAAUUUUAUCCUCUAGUAAGUGACCGUUCCUUUAAUGUGGUAAAUAAUAACUGAAAUCUCUGAGUUUCCUGAUUGUGGGGUAUAGCCAAUUAGAUACUUGAACGCCCCCUUGAAAUUUUUAUUCCUCAUCCCCUUUUACUAAAGUAUAAGGGAUACAACACAAACAUAUUUUUAUGCUUACAACAGAGCUCAUAAAAAUGAGAGAAAUUCCAAGGAUCCAAAAAUAGAGAACUAAACCUACAACUUAAACCCUUUGUCACAUAUGAGUUUGAUUUAUAAUCUUGGUCAUGUAGAAGCUGUGAGUCUCCUUGGGGGAUUUUUUUGGAUGCAAACUGUUAUGUUUGGAAUGAAUGGGCAAUGGGGUCCUACUGUACAGCACAGGGAAAUGCGUGUUAUUGGCUCACUUUGCUGUGCAACGGAACUUGAAAAAACAUUGUAAAUUAACUAUACUUUAAUAAAAAAAAAGAAGCUGUGGGUCUAAUGCAUAUAUGAGAUAUGAAGAUUGAAGGUAGCACUAGGCUGAUUUGAAAAUGUGACCCAUUUAUUAAGAACAGAUGGUUAUGGAUUUAAUUGUAUCCCCCAGAAUUCAUAUGUUCAGGUCCUUAUCUCCAAUAUCUCCUAUGUGACCUUAUUCAGAGACCUGGUUUCUAUAGAGGCACCAAAAUUAAAAUCAGGUAAUUAGGAUUGGACCUAAUCUAAUCUGACUGGUUUCUUAUAAGAAGAGGAAAUUUGGACCCAGAUACAUAUAUAGGGAGACCCAUUAAUGUACAUAUCACACUUAGCUGUAGAUACGAAUUUGAGAAAAUAAAGAGUUAACUUAAAGAAAAUAUAUUGGAAUUCACCCAUAUGCAAUGAAGUAAGAUUAAUAGAUGAUGUUACGAAAGACAAAUUAAAAGAUGUGUAGAUAAGUGAGAAAUCCAGUAUAUCACACUGGAAAUCCCAGAGAAGAAAAAAGAGAGCGAAUGGGGAAGUUAAUAUUAAAAAAAAAUAGUAAUAAGAGUUUUCAAAAUUGAUACGAAUUUUCAGAUUUAGGAAAUAGGCAAUCUUGAGUAUAAAAAAUACUUUUUAAUCCAUAGACUAGGAAAAUUUCAGAACACCAGAGACAAAGGUUAGGUCAUAAAAAGGACCUUAAAAAUACAGAUUAUAUAGGAAUAAAAAUUAUACAUUUUAACAGGGACAAAAGUAAAUAUAAAGCAGUGGAAAAAUAUCUUUAAUGUGAUGUGAGAAAACAACAGGGAACUUUGAAUUCUCUACUGAAAUAAGCUUCUGAAAUAUCUGACAGUUUUUUACAAAAGACAUUUUCAGAUAGAAACCAUUGCUAACAUACUACUGUGUGAAAAACUACUGAAUUAUAUAUUCAAAAUGGGAGAAAUCAAAAGCAACACAGAUGGUGAAAUGAAAGGGAAACAGUAGCAAAAAACUGUUAAACAUCUAAAUAAAUCUAAAAAUGCAUUGAUUAUAUAAUGCCAGGAAAUGAACUAUAAUGUCUGAUUUGGAGGGAUAUUAAAUAAAGUGGAACUAAGAUACUAGGCAAAAAUAGCAUGCAAGUGUAAUGCAAGAGGGAAGAAAAUCAAUUAGAUUUUAAAACAUUUUCUUCUAUUUUUAUAUUUUAUUGCUUGAGGAAGAUAUUUAAUAAAAAAUAUAUGCAUAUAUAUUAUAUAUUCUUUCAAUAAAUGUAUAUCAAUGUAUUCUCCCAAAUUGAUAUCGCCUGUGUAACCAGCUCCCCAGGUCAAGAAGUAGAAUAUUGCCAGCACCAAAAAGGCUUCCUUCAUGCUUCUUUGUAGUCAUUCUUUCCCCAGGGAAAACCACCAUUUAGAUUUCUCACAACUUAGAUUUUCUAUGCUUGUCCUACAUUUGAAAGGAAUUACAUUGUUUUCCUUUUUUGGUUUACGUUGUUCAAAAUUAUAUUUUGUAGCAUUCAUUUAUGCUGUUGUACAGCAUUUUAGAUUGUUCACAUCAUGGCUGUUCAGUGUUAUUUUGUGUCAUUGCAUGAUAUUUUAUCCAUUCCUCUGUUGAGGACAUUUGUAUAGUGUCUAGUUUGGAGCCAUUACAAAUAAUGCUGCUAAGAACAGUUUUUGUAAUCAUAUGGACAUAUUUCUUUUGGAUUUGCAUCUAGCAAUGACAUUGCUUGGUAACAGGGUAAGUGUAUUUUUUACUUGAUGGUGCUGACAAGCAAUUUUUAAAAAUAUCAGUUUAUACUCCCACCAGCAAUUUAUGAGUGUGGUUGCUCAAUAACAUCCUCCCUGGUACUAGGUAUUUUCCGAUGCUUUUAUUUCAGUAAAUCUGAUAAAUGUAUAUUGCAUUGUGGUUUUAACUUGCAUUUUCCUGAUGGUCAAUGAAGCUGAGGAUAACUGAAUAUAGUUAUUAGACAUUUCAGUGUUUUUUUUGUUUUUUUGUUUUUUGUGAAAUGCUUGUAUAAGUCUCACCAUUUCAGCGUGGGGUUGAGGUCUUUUUCAUUUUUUUCAAAGUUCUUUAUAUAUCAUGGAGCCUGGGAUAAUUUGGUGGGCUUGUGUUUUGCAAACAUCUUCCACAGUGUUGAUGAUGUGGUCUCUUUUAAUGCCUAGCAAAGGACACUAAACCUUGAGUUAAAAAAAUAAAAAUCGUCAGUUUAGGUGGGUGGUCCAUCUGGUUUGAGGCAGGCUCCAGUGAUCUUGGCUGGGCCCAUGCAUGUGUCAGUGGUCAGCUUGGGCUCACUGACUAUUGGUUUGUUACCUCAGUUCUUCACAUGGCCUCUUAUUUUCCAGCUGACUCAGCCCCUCCCUAUGGCAGUCACAGGGUUCCAAGUAAGUAAAUAAGGGCCCCAAUUUCAGGAAUGGCUGUUCAGUUCUCUCUUGCUUCAUGUUUUCUAGUGUCCUAUUUGGUCAAAUGAAAUCACAUGGGCAACCCGAAUUCAAGGGCAAGGAAACCAGUUGUGCUUAUUGAUGAGAGAAAUCUGCAAUGUCACAUGAAAAGAGAAAGAAUAUAUCCGAUUUUUUUGCAAGCUACCACUGUCUCUGGUUGCAGAUAUUUACAUUACAGACUUGUGCAAAAUAUGUUCACCUUUAUCCAUGAUGCCAAAAUUCUCAUCAAAUUUUGGCAUAGCUCAAUUUCCAGAAUUUCACAAUCUGAGUUAAACUGGACUGCAAUUCCUCAGAUACGGCUGCUGUUGAUCUAAGGAAUGUGAACUACUUAACAAGCUAUCUGACCCCAUCAUAACACUAUGUAAUGGUAAUAAAGCAACCAGACGACUCUAAUAGAUGCUUCCAUUCCAAAUCAGGAGGAAGAGGAAGUACACAGCAGUGCUGAAAUUCCACAGAGUAGAAGUUGGCAAGCAAGGCCCCAUCUCUGGGGGCUAGAAACACUUCUUGAUUAGACUAUCCUUCUUCUGGAAAUAGGAGCAGGAUACAAUAGUAAAAUAAGAGCCAAAGUCAAAAACAAACAAACAAACAAAAACAACAAAAUAAUUUGAAUGGAAAAAGUAAGUAGGCUCAUAUUUGCAGAUAAGUGGAUUUUUCUGCUUGCUUUCAGCUUCCAGAAAUGGGGGUUUGGAGGUCUUUUUGUAAGAUAAAUUUUGUUCCUUUUUGGUUCAAGUUGGUGGUCCAUUUGAUUGACAAGUCUUUUUAAGUCAUAUUUCAGGACUUCAGCUUUUGGGGAAGAAGGAGUUGAUAUAAAUUUAUUUUUUCCUCUUUCUACAUAUAACCCUGGACAUCAUAUGUAAGAAAAAAUGAGACUCUAAAAGAUGGAGGAAAGCAAACUGGCUAUGGACAUUGGGACUUCAAGGUGAUAGGGCUUAUAUUUCCCUGGACUUUCUCUUAGUCUUGUACAGUCUGAACAAAGAGCUUAAGAAGUCAGUAACCCUGAAAUAGCAAAAGGUUCAGACUCAAAAAUCUCCCCAAAGGACUUCUCUUACCAUAGAACCAGUAAAGAGGCAGGAAAGAUGGUAAACUUUUAAAAAAUAACUACUAUCUUUAAGCAGUCUUCCGAAUACUAAACACUGACCACAUCCACUUGAACAAAGGCACAGGGACCACCUAACUUCUACCCUCUCCAGACAGUAGUAAGCUGUGGGAAAACUCCUGCCAAGGGGGUGUCAAAAAAGGCCAAAUAAAGAACCACAGCUUACUGAGCUUAUGGUCAGCUUUGUUUUAUUAUUUAGCCUAAAUCUUAACAUAUUCACUAUUUAAUAAGAAACUAGUCUUCAUUAACAUUUAUUGUGCUUAUUAUUAUGCUAAGUCUUCCUUGUCAUCUUCUUAUGGUUUAUCAGUAGUAUAUUUUCUUUUUUUUUUAAAUUUUAAUGUACUUUUCUUCCAUUUUGUGGAAUGGUUGUUUUAUGUUGUUAUGUGUUUUAUCUCAAUGGUAUGCAUGCAACAGAUUAUUGUUAAUUUACUUUUUGUAAAGGUUUACCAAGAUUAAUGAAACUUUCCUCUAAAUUUUAAGGAUCGCAUAGAAUUCUACAUGUAUGGACACAAUCACAAAUGUAGAUAGUGUGUUUGUGCAUAUUUUUGUGUUUAUGAGGCGGUGAGAGGGAACUAUCAUAAGAUUGGGAAAUAGAAAUUCAGUUUGCUCAUAUUUGCUGAUUAUAAUACUUGCCAAAAAAUUUUCUUUAAUGAGGGGGAUUCAUCAAUUUUUAGUGCAUUUGAACAUUAAUAACAAUAUAUCCUGAUAAAUUAUGCAUGACAUGCAUGAUUGAUAUCAAUGGUUCACAAAUAUAGAAGAUCAUCUAUAUGCAGAUUUAGUGGAUAAUAUGAAAUCCUGAUACAAUUUACCAAGAAAAAUUCUUUGUAAACAUCAGGAAUUUAUAAAUGCAUUUUUUGUAUUAUUUUAUUUUUAAAGAGUAUACAUAACCUAAUUCAGUCCUUUAGUCAUAGCAAUUAUACUUAAACUUCUUAAUUAUAAUCAGGAGAGUACAACUCAUAAAUAAAAUUAUGCUUGAAUUUUAAAUAAAAUUGAGAAAAUAUGAUUUUAUAAAGUAUAAGUAUGUAUCCACUUUAAAUAAAUAAUUUAUAUUAAUGUACUCAGAGAAAAUAGUGUUUUAAAUGGAUUAUGGAAAAUACAUGCUUUACCACACAGUAAAAUUAUGAACAUGUAAGCAUAAUUAAUACCCUCAAGAAUACAACCUUGAAGAAAAUAUAGCAUAAUAAGAUUUCCUAAAGAACAUAGGCAAUGAUAAUCUGUUGGUUUCUCCCUGUUAUUUCUAAAUGUUUUUAAAAGGUCAGUUUUUCAGGGUCUCCAUGAAAUUUCAUGGAACCUGAUGUUUCACAGAUUUGGUAGCAUUUUUUCUUAUUGAGUAUAGCUGUAUGAAAUCUAAAUUGUCCUUAGGUAUUUUGCUUUGAAUGAAGUCAUUGCAAAUACUUUUCUAUUUUUUGACAUCUCUCUGCCUGACAGAAAAAUCCACUCUACAGAAGUAAUAGGGAAAAGCAUUGCUUCAAGAAAAAUAAUUAUAAGCCGUGGUUUAUUUAUUUGUUUAUUUAUUUUGCUUUUUAGGGCUGCACCCACAGCAUGUGGAGGUUCCCAGACUAGGGGUCCAAUCGGAGCUACUGCUGCUGACCUAUGCCACAGCCAUAGCAACACCAGAUCUGAGCCGCAUCUGUGACCUACACCACAGCUCAUGGCAAUGCUGGAUCCUUAACCCACUGAGCGAGGCCAGGGAUUGACCUGCAACCUACUGGUUCCUAGUAGGAUUCAUUCCUGCUGCGCCACCAUGGGAACUCCAUAAGCCGUGGUUUAAAUAUUAAGCGCUAGGUUGCAUUUAAAAAAAGAAAUAUAUAUCUGAAGUUGAUCUUUAAGGUGCAAAACUUUCUAUUCUAACUAAAGCAGUAUAGUACUACAACCUACAUUUAUUGAUAAUAGUCAUUCCAUAAAAUAAAAACAUCCCUCCAAUUUACCCAGUUCCUUUUGGAGUUGAAGAAAUUAUAUAUUGAUUUUAGAGUGAAAAUAUUAGUGAUAGGCAAAGCAAAACUUUAAUGAUUAAGUGAUAAAUUUGGAUAAUUUACAUAAGUAACACUGUCAAACCAAAAAGCAUUAAAAAAUUACUGUAGUUAUAGCUUUUUAACAUGUUUCCUCAGUGAAUGCAAAACCAUGACUUUACAUCAAAGUCACAUUUAGAUUCAUAUAAGUUCUUGUAUUAGGAGUUUAGUCAUUCUCUUGAAACUGAUGGAAAAGAAGUUUGUAACAUUUUUCUAUUGUUUUCUUGAGCACCUCUGCCCUUCAAGCUGGGAAGUGCUGCCAGAGCACAAUCUCUCUCUUUUUAGCAGGUCAUUUGCCUCAAUUUUGUGGCUUAGAAUAAGAACCCAGUUAUUAUGUUACUUGAAUGUGGUUUAUUUCCUCUUGAAUCGUCUUUACUUCCCCUUGAAAUCAGAAC
rnacentral:lncRNA from 1 species